GAACGCUAGCGAUAGGCCUAACACAUGCAAGUCGAGGGGCAUCACAUGAAGUAGCAAUACGGAUGGUGGCGACCGGCGCACGGGUGAGUAACACGUAUGCAACCUGCCUUCAACAAGGGCAUAACCCGUUGAAAGACGGACUAAUUCCCUAUAACACAGGGGUCCCGCAUGGGAAUAUUUGUUAAAGAUUAAUCGGUUGAAGAUGGGCAUGCGUUCCAUUAGCUGGUUGGCGGGGUAACGGCCCACCAAGGCAACGAUGGAUAGGGGUUCUGAGAGGAAGGUCCCCCACAUUGGUACUGAGACACGGACCAAACUCCUACGGGAGGCAGCAGUGAGGAAUAUUGGUCAAUGGGCGAGAGCCUGAACCAGCCAAGUAGCGUGAAGGAAUGAAGGUCCUAUGGAUUGUAAACUUCGUUUAUAGUAGAAUAAAGUGAGCCACGUGUGGUUUUUUGUAUGUAUACUAUGAAUAAGGAUCGGCUAACUCCGUGCCAGCAGCGGC
rnacentral:rRNA from 1 species